rnacentral:rRNA from 1 species
UAAUACGAAGGGGGCUAGCGUUGUUCGGAUUUACUGGGCGUAAAGCGCACGUAGGCGGGUUGUUAAGUCAGGGGUGAAAUCCUGGAGCUCAACUCCAGAACUGCCUUUGAUACUGGCAACCUAGAGGCUGGAAGAGGUUAGUGGAAUUCCCAGUGUAGAGGUGAAAUUCGUAGAUAUUGGGAAGAACACCAGUGG